GAUGAAGAACGCAGCGAAAUGCGAUACGUAAUGUGAAUUGCAGAAUUCAGUGAAUCAUCGAAUCUUUGAACGCACAUUGCGCCCCUUGGUAUCCCGAGGGGCAUGCCUGUUCGAGCGUCAUUUCACCACUCAAGCCUGGCUUGGUGUUGGGCGACGUCCCCUUUAGGGACGCGCCUCGAAACGCUCGGCGGCGUGGCACCGGCUUUAAGCGUAGCAGAAUCUUUCGCUUUGGAAGUCGGGGCCCCGCCUGCCGGAAUACCUACUCGUAAGGUUGACCUCGGAUCAGGCAGGGAUACCCGCUGAACUUAAGCAUAUCAAUAAGCGGAGGA
rnacentral:misc_RNA from 1 species